UUUUUAUUGCAACAGUUUGGUAUCUGAAUGGGUUUCUAAAGCAUUGCACUAUCUUGCAGUUAAAAGUUGGGUUUAAGCAAUUGUUUAGUUUGAUUUCAGAUAGUUCAUGCUAGAAAACUUAAAUACUUAGGGUAAAAAAAAUUUAGAAAGUUUCAAUUUUGAACUGGGUAGCCUGAGAAAAUUUCACUAGGUAUUCCAGUGCAUUAACUUGGGCAAAGAUAAUAAAUUAUGAUAUGAUAUCUGUUCCCCUCAGUGUGUAAGAUUCAGAAAAAAAAAGGGGGGGGGGUGCUAAAUUAAAACGUUGGUCUGGCUUAUUGAAAUGACA
rnacentral:lncRNA from 1 species